CACGUAGGGUGCGAGCGUUGUCCGGAAUUAUUGGGCGUAAAGAGCUCGUAGGCGGUGUGUCGCGUCGGCCGUGAAAACCUGCAGCUUAACUGUGGGCUUGCGGUCGAUACGGGCAUCACUGGAGUUCGGCAGGGGAGACUGGAAUUCCUGGUGUAGCGGUGAAAUGCGUAGAGAUCGGCAGGAACACCCAGGGGGAAACCAGUGGACUGGGCAUGCGCUGACACUCAGGUGCGAAAGCGUGGGGAGCGAACCGG
rnacentral:rRNA from 1 species